AUACCUUUCUCGGCCUUUUGGCUAAGAGCAAGUGUAAUAUCGGUUCUUAUUAUUUUAUUAUUUGAUACGUGGGUCAUGAGCCUACGAUGAUAUUAAAUUUAUUUUCAUUACUAGCAAAAAUAACCGUGCGUUGUAACGGGUGAAAAAAUUCUAAUGAUAAUAUACAUUUUUCAUUUUUCAUGUAUAAUGUUGUCAAUGACAA
rnacentral:snRNA from 1 species